rnacentral:rRNA from 1 species
UACGUAGGUGGCAAGCGUUGUCCGGAUUUACUGGGCGUAAAGAGCGCGCAGGCGGUCGUUCAAGUCGCGUGUGAAAGCCCCCGGCUCAACUGGGGAGGGUCACGCGAUACUGAUCGACUCGAAGGCAGGAGAGGGAAGUGGAAUUCCCGGUGUAGCGGUGGAAUGCGCAGAUAUCAGGAGGAACACCGGUGGCGAAGGCGGGUCUCUGGGCCGUAACUGACGCUGAGGAGCGAAAGCAUGGGGAGCGAACAGG